UACGUAGGGGGCAAGCGUUGUCCGGAAUCAUUGGGCGUAAAGAGCGUGUAGGUGGACUGGAAGGUCUGGUGUGAAAGUCCAGGGCUCAACCCUGGGAUGCCGGUGGAUACUGUCGGGCUCGAGUCCGGAAGAGGCGAGUGGAAUUCCUGGUGUAGCGGUGAAAUGCGCAGAUAUCAGGAGGAACACCAAUGGCGAAGGCAGCUCGCUGGGACGUGACUGACGCUGAGACGCGAAAGCGUGGGGGAGCAAACAGG
rnacentral:rRNA from 1 species